GGGAUGUAGCUCAGUUGGCUAGAGCGCUUGACUGGCAGUCAAGAGGUCGUGAGUUCGAAUCUCAUCUUCUCC
rnacentral:tRNA from 3 species